rnacentral:tRNA from 4 species
CGCGGGAUGGAGCAGUUGGUAGCUCGUCGGGCUCAUAACCCGAAGGUCACAGGUUCGAGUCCUGUUCCCGCUAC